rnacentral:rRNA from 1 species
CAGCCGCCGCGGUAAUACGAAGGGUGCAAGCGUUAAUCGGAAUUACUGGGCGUAAAGCGUGCGUAGGCGGUUUGUUAAGACAGAUGUGAAAUCCCCGGGCUCAACCUGGGAACUGCAUUUGUGACUGGCAAGCUAGAGUGUGGCAGAGGGGGGUGGAAUUCCGCGUGUAGCAGUGAAAUGCGUAGAUAUGCGGAGGAACACCGAUGGCGAAGGCAGCCCCCUGGGCCAACACUGACGCUCAUGCACGAAAGCGUGGGGAGCAAACAGGAUUAGAGACCCGCGUAGUCCCUGUCUCUUAUAC